CUUUUUCUUUCACCGGAGCUUGCUCCACCGAAAGAAAAGGAGUGGCGAACGGGUGAGUAACACGUGGGUAACCUGCCCAUCAGAAGGGGAUAACACUUGGAAACAGGUGCUAAUACCGUAUAACAGUAGAAACCGCAUGGUUUCUAUUUGAAAGGCGCUUUUGCGUCACUGAUGGAUGGACCCGCGGUGCAUUAGCUAGUUGGUGAGGUAACGGCUCACCAAGGCAACGAUGCAUAGCCGACCUGAGAGGGUGAUCGGCCACAUUGGGACUGAGACACGGCCCAAACUCCUACGGGAGGCAGCAGUAGGGAAUCUUCGGCAAUGGACGAAAGUCUGACCGAGCAACGCCGCGUGAGUGAAGAAGGUUUUCGGAUCGUAAAACUCUGUUGUUAGAGAAGAACAAGGAUGAGAGUAAAACGUUCAUCCCUUGACGGUAUCUAACCAGAAAGC
rnacentral:rRNA from 1 species